rnacentral:rRNA from 1 species
CCCCUAGAUGUUCUGGGCCGCACGCGCGCUACACUGAACAGUUCAACAAGUCUUAACCUUGGCCGAUAGGUCUGGGUAAUCUUUGAACGCUGUUCGUGAUUGGGAUAGACCUUUGCAAUUAUGGGUCUUCAACGAGGAAUUCCUAGUAAACGCAAGUCAUCAGCUUGCAUUGAUUACGUCCCUGCCCUUUGUACACACCGCCCGUCGCACCUACCGAUUGAAUGGUCCGGUGAAAUCUCGGGACGGCGGCUCGGUCGCUUGCGUCCGACUGCUGAAACUUGAUUAAACCAUAUCAUUUAGAGGAAGGUGAAGUCGUANC